rfam:TPA: Bos taurus chromosome 6, whole genome shotgun sequence.
AGAGGUGCGUGUGCCUUUUCUGCACACUCUGUAUACACGCGCGCACACGUAGUAGAGGUGCGUGUGCCUUU